rnacentral:rRNA from 1 species
GAUGAACGCUGACAGAAUGCUUAACACAUGCAAGUCAACUUGAAUUUGGGUUUUUAACUUAGGUUUGGGUGGCGGACGGGUGAGUAACGCGUAAAGAACUUGCCUCACAGCUAGGGACAACAUUUGGAAACGAAUGCUAAUACCUAAUAUUAUGAUAAUAGGGCAUCCUAUAAUUAUGAAAGCUAUAAGCGCUGUGAGAGAGCGUUGCGUCCCAUUAGCUAGUUGGAGAGGUAACGGCUCACCAAGGAGAUGAUGGGUAGCCGGCCUGAGAGGGUGAUCGGCCACAAGGGGACUGAGAAACGGCCCUUAGUGCUACGGGAGGCAGCAGUGGGGAAUAUUGGAAAACGGACCAAGAGUCUGAUCAAGCAAUUCUGUGUGCAAGAUGCAUUUUUUCGGAAUGUAAAGUGCUUUCAGUUGGGAAGAAAGAAAUGACGGUACCAACAGAAGAAGCGACGGCUAAAUACGUG